UUGCAAGUAUUGAAUUCACUACUUUUUGUGACUCAAAAUAAACAAAUGAACCUCACACAAUAAUUGUGGCUCCUAAAUUAUCCAUUUUUCUUGGAGACACAUCUUUCAAACACGGCGAAGCAAGUUAUUCACAGUACGUGAAGCUUGUGCAGAGCUCAACAAUCAUCCCUAACACCCUAUGCUGUCAAUAAAUAAAUAAUUACAUGAUGAAAUUCCACAAUAUAGAAUAAUUACACUAAAUUCCACUUAUUUUCAUUCAUAGUGCUAACGUUAAAAUUCUGCAAAACACAGAAUUACAUUUGACCUCUGGCAUGGGAGGAACCAUCCAUUUCAAUUCAAAAUUGCAGAAGGCAGUUUACUUAUUAAUAAGGAAUCUUAAAACACCAAAUGAUCAAUAAAAAAUUAUACAUGAACACGGGUAUAUAGUAAACUAUCUAGUUUGAGAAUACAUUUGGUGUUGCCAUCCACAUCCCUUUAACUAACUAUUAACAUCAUUGAACUGUUAUCUGUAAUAUUAUUCAUGUUUUGUACCAAACAUGCCCUAAAAGUUUCAAGACAUAUCCCUCGUUAACCAAGAAAAUCAGCCGCGCCAUUAGCCUCUAUAAAUGUGACGGUAAUAAAAACGAAACAAUAAUGAACCCAAUUAAUUUGCAUUCAAAGAAUCAAGUUCAUCCGCGAUCCAAACCAUUUAGGAGAGUUUUCAAAUCAGAUUAGUGCCUAAGCCAUACUAACCACAGAAAGCAAUUGUAAACUGACCAUCAUAGUCCCGAAGCCGGCCUACUCCCUUGGAUACAUCUGGAGUUCCUCUCAAGCAACCAUCAGUGCAGGUUUACAAUUGGCACAAAGUAACUACAUCCAUAUCAUACCAUUCUUUUCCAGACCAAGAAGAAAUCUCAAAUGUAUUGUGCAGACCAAGUACUCCAAUAAAGGUGCGCAUCGACAAGUAAAUAGGAAAAGUAAUCCAACACUAUGAAAAACCUGCUUUAGAACGACAAAAUUCAUUCUAUACGAAUGCUAUCCUAGAAAUAUGUUCAGAAAAACUGCAUAUAAUUUGGAUGGGGAACAAAGUAUUCUACCCCCAUAUCCAUGAACC
rnacentral:lncRNA from 1 species